rnacentral:rRNA from 1 species
GUGGGGAAUUUUGGACAAUGGGCGCAAGCCUGAUCCAGCAAUGCCGCGUGCAGGAAGAAGGCCUUCGGGUUGUAAACUGCUUUUGUACGGAACGAAACGGCUCUGGUUAAUACCCGGGGCUAAUGACGGUACCGUAAGAAUAAGCACCGGCUAACUACGUGCCAGCAGCCGCGGUAAUACGUAGGGUGCAAGCGUUAAUCGGAAUUACUGGGCGUAAAGCGUGCGCAGGCGGUGCUGUAAGACAGGCGUGAAAUCCCCGGGCUUAACCUGGGAAUUGCGAUUGUGACUGCAGUGCUGGAGUGCGGCAGAGGGGGAUGGAAUUCCGCGUGUAGCAGUGAAAUGCGUAGAUAUGCGGAGGAACACCGAUGGCGAAGGCAAUCCCCUGUGCCUGCACUGACGCUCAUGCACGAAAGCGUGGGGAGCAAACAGGAUUAGAAACCCGGGUAGUCC